rnacentral:tRNA from 1 species
AGGGGUAUGGUCAAGUGGUAUGACAGAGGUCUCCAAAACCUUUAGUGGGGGUUCGAUUCCCUCUACCCCUG